CCUACGGGGGGCAGCAGUGGGGAAUAUUGCACAAUGGGGGAAACCCUGAUGCAGCGACGCCGCGUGAGUGAAGAAGUAUUUCGGUACGUAAAGCUCUAUCAGCAGGGAAGAAAAUGACGGUACCUGACUAAGAAGCCACGGCUACCUACGGGCCAGCAGCCGCGGUAAUACGUAGGGGGCAAGAGGUAUCCGGAUUUACUGGGUGUAAAGGGAGCGUAGACGGCAGCGCAAGUCUGGAGUGAAAUCCCAUGGCUUAACCAUGGCACUGCUUUGGAAACUGUGCAGCUAGAGUGCAGGAGAGGUCAUCGGACUUCCUAGUGUAGCGGUGAAAUGCGUCGAUAUUAGGAGGAACACCAGUGGCGAAGGCGGCUUACUGGACUGUACCUGACGUUGCGGCUCGAACGCGUGGGGAGCAAACAGGAUUAGAUACCCGAGUAGUC
rnacentral:rRNA from 1 species